rnacentral:rRNA from 1 species
UACGGAGGGUGCAAGCGUUAUCCGGAAUUAUUGGGCGUAAAGCGUGCGCAGGCGGCCUGGUAAGUCCGCUGUGAAAUCCCCGAGCUCAACUUGGGAAUUGCAGUGGAUACUGGCAGGCUGGAGUAUGGUAGAGGAAGGUGGAAUUCCCGGUGUAGCAGUGAAAUGCGUAGAGAUCGGGAGGAACACCAGUGGCGAAGGCGGCCUUCUGGACCAAUACUGACGCUCAUGCACGAAAGCGUGGGGAGCAAACAGG